CAACAGCAGAAUAAGUUACAUUUUGUAGUACCCAGAGCUUUUAAGGAUAUAGAUUGUUAGUUGGGUUCUGUUUUAUUUGAAUACGAUUUAAUGUUGGUAAGAUUAAGCAAAGUUAGAUCUGAGUAAUGCUAUGUUUUAUUGCCCUGUGGAGUCAUUUUUGUUAAGAGUCAUUUAUGUCAAGGUCGAUUUCUGUCAGGUUUGAGCGUUGCUGAGCUUGGACGAGGUCAAGUUUCAGUCUUCUUCACUUUAAGCCAUUUCAUGUUCUGUUCCAGUUUUAUAAGAUCUAUUUUUAUUCAGCAUUGGAGAGGUCAGCUUUAGGUUCUUUUAAGUGUACCUCUAAUACUACUGAUGUAACAGUGAAUUACACUGCAAUUAAUUUCAAUUCCUACGUUAAUUUUGUUUAGAUAUGUUUGUCUACAUUGCAAGAUGUAGUUGUUUUCUUCUAGAGAUAAGACAGGUCCAACUGAAGCAGCAGCGAUGAAGCACUGAUAAACACCUGCUGUUGGACAGAAGCAGACACAGUUUGCUGAGCCCUCGAUCCUCUCCCAGCUCCCACAGGUGUCAGAGCUGCACUGCCCAACAGGAUCAGUCACUGGGAUCUCUUCUGUUUUCUCUCCCACAGCUAACACAGGACAGUGGCUGCUUGUUCUGCAGGAUGCUGUUACCCACUGGAGCUGUUCAGAGUUUCACUGCUGUGGACACAUGAAUGCUGCAAGAAUAUUGUCCCAAAUUCCUGAGGCGGUUCCUGCUGAUCCAUUGCUCCCAUCACGGGGAUUCACUGAUUUUUAGAACAGGCAUUGUUCAUAAGGUGUCAUUGCCUUGUUUAUAACUGGCUUUUCACAAUC